UACAGAGGUCUCAAGCGUUGUUCGGAUUCAUUGGGUCGGUAAAGGGUGUGUGAGGUUGGCGCCGUAAGUCGGGGUGAUUGAAAUUUCGGUAGCUUAACUCCGAAACUGCAUUCGAUACUGGCGGUGCUUGAGGACUGGAUGAGGAGGACUGGAAUUCAUGGUGUAGCAGUGAAAUGCGUAGAGAUCAUGAGGAAGACCAGUGGCGAAGGCGGGUCGCUGGACAAGUUCCUGACACUGAGACAGAAGGCCCAGGGGAGGCAAAACGGGA
rnacentral:rRNA from 1 species